ACGACCUUAGUUGGACAGGAUCUGUUCUAUAGGCUCGUACCUCUGUGUCCUUGAGUACAUAGUAGGCAGGAAACCAAAUUCGGUGGAUGAAUCAUGACUGUGUGAUCAGAGCGUGAUUAAUAACGACUUGAUAUUCCCUCAGAUCAUUGUGGAUGUAGGGGAUCUUUCUCAGUCGAGAUUCCGUUGGCUGGGAUGUUCACACGGUUGUUUGACAGGUU